rnacentral:rRNA from 1 species
AGAGUUUGAUCAUGGCUCAGGACGAACGCUGGCGGUGUGCUUAAGACAUGCAAGUCGUGCGGACCGUAGCAAUACGGUCAGCGGCGGACGGGUGAGUAACACGUGGAUAACCUGCCUGGCUCCCCGGGAUAACAGGCCGAAAGGCCUGCUAAUACCGGGUAAGCUCACGGGGCCGCAUGGUCCUGGGAGAAAAGCUCCUGCAAGGGAGUGGGGUCAGAGGGGUCCGCGGCCCAUUAGCUAGUUGGGGGGGUAACGGCCCACCAAGGCGACGAUGGGUAGCCGGCCUGAGAGGGCGACCGGCCACACUGGGACUGAGACACGGCCCAGACUCCUACGGGAGGCAGCAGUCGGGAAUUUUGGGCAAUGACCGAAAGGGCUGACCCAGCAACACCGCGUGAGUGAAGAAGGCCUUCGGGUUGUAAAGCUCUGUUGCCCGUGAAGAACGGUGCUUUCAGGAAAUGGGAAGCACUUGACGGUAGCGGGUGAGGAAGCUCCGGCUAACUACGUGCCAGCAGCCGCGGUAAUACGUAGGGAGCGAGCGUUGUCCGGAUUUAUUGGGCGUAAAGGGCGUGUAGGCGGCUUUUUAAGUCUGAAGUGAAACGCCAGGGCUCAACCCUGGAACUGCUUCGGAUACUGGGAAGCUUGAGUACUCUAGAGGGCAGUGGAAUUCCGGGUGUAGCAGUGAAAUGCGUAGAGAUCCGGGGGAACACCAGUGGCGAAGGCGACUGCCUGGGGAGAAACUGACGCUGAGGCGCGAAAGCUGGGGGAGCAAACGGGAUUAGAUACCCCGGUAGUCCCAGCCGUAAACGAUGAGUGCUAGGUGUAGGGGGUAUCGACCCCCCCUGUGCCGGAGUUAACGCAAUAAGCACUCCGCCUGGGGAGUACGGCCGCAAGGUUGAAACUCAAAUGAAUUGACGG